rnacentral:rRNA from 1 species
GACGAACGCUGGCGGCGUGCUUAACACAUGCAAGUCGAACGGAAAGGCCCUGCUUUUGUGGGGUGCUCGAGUGGCGAACGGGUGAGUAACACGUGAGUAACCUGCCCUUGACUUUGGGAUAACUUCAGGAAACUGGGGCUAAUACCGGAUAGGAGCUCCUGCUGCAUGGUGGGGGUUGGAAAGUUUCGGCGGUUGGGGAUGGACUCGCGGCUUAUCAGCUUGUUGGUGGGGUAGUGGCUUACCAAGGCUUUGACGGGUAGCCGGCCUGAGAGGGUGACCGGCCACAUUGGGACUGAGAUACGGCCGAGACUCCUACGGGAGGCAGCAGUGGGGAAUAUUGCACAAUGGGCGGAAGCCGGAUGCAGCAACGCCGCGUGCGGGAUGACGGCCUUCGGGUUGUAAACCGCUUUCGCCUGUGACGAAGCGUGAGUGACGGUAAUGGGUAAAGAAGCACCGGCUAACUACGUG